AAAGGGUGAGAUUCACCCCAAACUGCGCUGCGAAGCAAAUAAUGUCUCAGUGCUCCUGUGCUAUUUGCACAUAUUUAAUUAUAAGUAUUCCAGUGUGUUCUUG